AAAGCAUAAAAAGCGACCAACCAGAAAGACCUUUUCAGAAAGAAUCCACCCAGGCAGAAGUGGAAAUGUACAAAGAGCUCUAUCUGGUGGAAGCAAAAACCAGAAAAAGCCUAGCCAAGAAACUGGAAAGAGCUGAUGAGAGACUUGCAGAGGCCGACAUCGAGCUCUUUUGGGAGCGCCAUAGAAGCAAAUCUGCAGUCACAAGAAGCGCUGUCAGCAUACAUCUGGCUGCAAGUCCACUUCUGGAUCCAGCUGGCCUGGGAUAUCUUGGCAACAGUUUGGGACUGAACAGAAGUCUGGGUUUCAGAACACCACCCAGACAUCUGUGGUAAAGCCAAAGAUUUUAGGACAUCAGGCACGACAGGAA